rnacentral:rRNA from 1 species
UCGGGAAUUUUGGGCAAUGGGCGAAAGCCUGACCCAGCAACGCCGCGUGAAGGAUGAAGUAUUUCGGUAUGUAAACUUCGUAAGAAUAGGAAGAAUAAAUGACGGUACUAUUUGUAAGGUCCGGCUAACUACGUGCCAGCAGCCGCGAUAAUACGUAGGGACCAAGCGUUGUUCGGAUUUACUGGGCGUAAAGGGCGCGUAGGCGGUGUGUCAAGUCAGUUGUGAAAUCUCCGAGCUUAACUCGGAACGGUCAACUGAUACUGUCACACUAGAGUACAGAAGGGGCAAUCGGAAUUCUUGGUGUAGCGGUGAAAUGCGUAGAUAUCAAGGAGGAACACCUGAGGCGAAGGCGGGUUGCUGGGCUGAUACUGACGCUGAGGC